GACCUAGCUCCGUGAUGGUAGAGUCGGACGGGUGAGUAACACGUGGGUAACCUGCCUGUAAGACUGGGAUAACUCCGGGAAACCGGGGCUAAUACCGGAUGGUUGUCUGAACCGCAUGGUUCAGACAUAAAAGGUGGCUUCGGCUACCACUUACAGAUGGACCCGCGGCGCAUUAGCUAGUUGGUGAGGUAACGGCUCACCAAGGCGACGAUGCGUAGCCGACCUGAGAGGGUGAUCGGCCACACUGGGACUGAGACACGGCCCAGACUCCUACGGGAGGCAGCAGUAGGGAAUCUUCCGCAAUGGACGAAAGUCUGACGGAGCAACGCCGCGUGAGUGAUGAAGGUUUUCGGAUCGUAAAGCUCUGUUGUUAGGGAAGAACAAGUGCCGUUCAAAUAGGGCGGCACCUUGACGGUACCUAACCAGAAAGCCACGGCUAACUACGUGCCAGCAGCCGCGGUAAUACGUAGGUGGCAAGCGUUGUCCGGAAUUAUUGGGCGUAAAGGGCUCGCAGGCGGUUUCUUAAGUCUGAUGUGAAAGCCCCCGGCUCAACCGGGGAGGGUCAUUGGGAAACUGGGGAACUUGAGUGCAGAAGAGGAGAGUGGAAUUCCACGUGUAGCGGUGAAAUGCGUAGAGAUGUGGAGGAACACCAGUGGCCGAAGGCGACUCUCUGGUCUGUAACUGACGCUGAGGAGCGAAAGCGUGGGGAGCGAACAGGAUUAGAUACCCUGGUAGUCCACGCCGUAAACGAUGAGUGCUAAGUGUUAGGGGGUUUCCGCCCCUUAGUGCUGCAGCUAACGCAUUAAGCACUCCGCCUGGGGAGUACGGUCGCAAGACUGAAACUCAAAGGAAUUGACGGGGGCCCGCACAAGCGGUGGAGCAUGUGGUUUAAUUCGAAGCAACGCGAAGAACCUUACCAGGUCUUGACAUCCUCUGACAAUCCUAGAGAUAGGACGUCCCCUUCGGGGGCAGAGUGACAGGUGGUGCAUGGUUGUCGUCAGCUCGUGUCGUGAGAUGUUGGGUUAAGUCCCGCAACGAGCGCAACCCUUGAUCUUAGUUGCCAGCAUUCAGUUGGGCACUCUAAGGUGACUGCCGGUGACAAACCGGAGGAAGGUGGGGAUGACGUCAAAUCAUCAUGCCCCUUAUGACCUGGGCUACACACGUGCUACAAUGGACAGAACAAAGGGCAGCGAAACCGCGAGGUUAAGCCAAUCCCACAAAUCUGUUCUCAGUUCGGAUCGCAGUCUGCAACUAGACUGCGUGAAGCUGGAAUCGUUAGUAAUCGCGGAUCAUCAUGCCAAGAUAGCCGUAGAGUUUGAUCCUGGCUCAGACUCAAGUCGUAACAAGGUAACCGUAGAGUUUGAUCCUGGCUCAGACUCAAGUCGUAACAAGGUAGCCGUAGAGAG
rnacentral:rRNA from 1 species